UCGUUGCCUCGGCCGGCUAAAGUGCUCGACCAUGGCGGUCUCCACCUCCACGAUGCCUCGACGGCGCUACUGCUCGGUCGCAUAGCUGUUCGAUUCCAAACUCCAGUGAGAUAAACUCCAUGUUCUACGGAUUGAAAUCCAGACGCGAAUCGAGAGAUAGUAGGAUUCGGAAUUGUGGGCAAAAAGUAGAAGAUUAGAGUAGCAGCAGAUCGAAGUAAGGUACCCGCCGCCUACGCCGAUGAGCGCGGCCGAGAAGGGCCCCGACGGGGAGGAGGAGGCGAACCCGAGCGUGGAGGCGUUCCUGGAGAUCCUGGGCCGCGUCCCGGCAGGGGAGGUGGAGGCGGCGCUGUCCUCCUGCGGCAUCGUUCCCAUGGCGGAGGUCGCGGAGCAGGUGCUCAAGUCCCGCGUCUGCUACUCCCGUCCCAAGUCCGCCGUCCGCUUCUUCCGCUGGGCGGCGCGGUCCGUGACCCACACCGCUUACGCAUGGAACCUCCUCGUCGACAUCCUUGGCAAGGCCGCCAUGUUCGAGCCCAUGUGGGACGCCAUCCGCUCCAUGAAGCAGGAGGGCGAGGGGCUCGUCUCCGUCGCCACCUUCGCCUCCGUCUUCGCCUCCUACUGCUCCCGCGGGAACCUCAAGGAGGCCGCCGCGGCCUUCGACGUCAUGGGCAGCUACGGCCUCAAGCCCGACGCCGUCGCACUCAACUCACUCCUCUCCGCCAUGUGCCGCACCGAGGGCCGCGCGCAGGCGGCGCAGGAUAUGUUCGAGCGCACGAAGGCCACCGUUGCGCCUGACGCCGACACCUUCGCGAUACUGCUCGAGGCGUGGGAGGAGGAGGGGAACGCGCAGCGCGCCAAGAGCACCUUCGGCGAGAUGGUCGUCCGCGUCGGCUGGGACGCAGGCAACGUGCCCGCAUACGACGCCUUCCUCUCCACGCUUGUACGCGGUGGCCAGUUCGACGAGGCGCUCAAAUUCCUGCAGGUGAUGCGGAGCAAGGGCUGCUUCCCGGGGAUCAAGUUUUUCGCCAACGCCGUCGAUCUCAUCGUCCGUAAGGGCGACUACACCAGCGCCAUAGCUAUCUGGCACAUGAUGGUCUCUGAAGCUGGUCUCGUGCCCAAUUUCUCGAUGUACAACGCCAUGAUUGGCCUCUGCUGCAAUGUUGGUAACAUCGACUAUGCCAUUGGCAUGCUAGAUGAAAUGCCCCUCAAUGGCGUCUUUGCUAAUUCUGUCACGUACAAUGCCAUACUGGAGGGGUUCAUCAGGCACCGCAAGGCUCGAGAGGCUGAGAGUUUCCUCUCGGAGAUGAGCAAGAACGAGCAACUGCCUACUGCGUCCAACUGUGCCGCUGCUAUCAGCCUGUUCUCUAAGGAGUUUAACCCUUGUGCAGCGAUCAACGUGUGGCGCUGCGUUGUGGAGCAUCACAUCACCCCUGCUGAGGACUCUGCUAGAGAGCUAAUAGCGGGGCUGCUUGACUUUGGCAGGUUAACUGAGGUGAAGAAGCGUGCUGAUGAGAUCAUUGACAUGGGAAUUGAGUUGCCUCAGUCCACCAUUGAGAAUAUGAAGCGCGUGUUUGCUAAGGCUGACAGGCACCAAUCGUAUGACCACAUUGCAAGAAGGUUGAAGCGACGAUAGCUACACAUGAAUGGUUUAAUCAGCUGGUGUCAACCCUGCAAGAGUUUCAUGACGAGAUGAGCGGCUCGCGUUUCAGGGGUCAAGGUAGCAUCCAAGAAAACAGUAGAGGCUCAAGGAUGGAACAUUGUGCGACGGGAUCGGUGCAGUCACAACUGCGACUGCAAGUUACCAUUAUCGGCCACCCGUUUCCGUGAUGAACAGUGCAGAUGAAUCACUACAGUUGCUACAGUGCUUCAACAGUAAUCAGCGCGGACCUCGACUGCACAGGCUCGCGUUUCAGGGGUCGCAAUUGGUGAACAAGGUAGCAUCCAAGAAAACAGUAAAGGCUUUACUUUCUGUCUUGUGCUGUGGCCGGCUUCAUGGACGGGAAAGCGUCUUGAGCUGUUGUGUUCACAAGCAACGCAACGGCAGCCACUGAUGAGCUUUAUUUGAAGACGGUUCUAGCUGUAUGCAAUUUCUGGUUGCGAUUUGAGCUCGCACUGUGUGCGAUUUUCUGGACAAAACACGCAUGAUGUGGCCUGAUGAAAUGAUAAGCAAGGGAACAGGACCUCUAAAUAGCGUUUAUACGCUAGCACACUGCUCGUUGCGACUCAAUCCGUGUGGUUCCCGGCUUUGCAGUUUCGAUGAUUCAGGAAAGUGCCUAUGACCUCAUGACAGGGCAUAAUCAACUGUGCUACUGCAAAUUUGUACACCUUUCUUCCUUCCAAAUAAAGGUUGGAUACAGCCAAUGCCGGCACGCCACACGCCAUUUAGCAACCGAACUGCUGGUUGAGCGGCUGCUCCAUUGGCGGAGAGGUACAUUGCGCUGCCAUACAAACCAUAGCAUAAAAAUUUCUAACAAGAUUUUUUGUAGUGACCGUGAUUAUGUGCAAACCAGCAGCCUCCAGCUGGUGGUACACAGGUAUAAUAAUUCCUUGAUUCCCGGAACUCAGGAAUGCAUCUCUGGUAUUUACUCAAUCUGUUUUAGCAUUCUUCAAGUGAACAAAGCCAAGAACAAAGUUAUUUAACCAAGUAGAAGCCGCAUCUAGCUCUACCAGUGAGGAACAUAAAGCAAUCAGUCCAUCUGAUAUCAACAGUCACUAAUCUUUGGCACAAGCACGGCAAAGGCAUGAACACGAAAAUUCUACUAGAGCAUUUGAACACGUCUUAUCUGGAAGGGUAGG